GGGGAAUAUUGGGCAAUGGGGGAAACCCUGACCCAGCAACGCCGCGUGAAGGAAGAAGGCUUUCGGGUUGUAAACUUCUUUUACCAGGGACGAAGGACGUGACGGUACCUGGAGAAAAAGCCACGGCUAACUACGUGCCAGCAGCCGCGGUAAUACGUAGGUGGCAAGCGUUGUCCGGAUUUACUGGGUGUAAAGGGUGCGUAGGUGGCAGUGCAAGUCAGAUGUGAAAGGCCGGGGCUCAACCCCGGAGCUGCAUUUGAAACUGCAUAGCUAGAGUACAGGAGAGGCAGGCGGAAUUCCUAGUGUAGCGGUGAAAUGCGUAGAUAUUAGGAGGAACACCAGUGGCGAAGGCGGCCUGCUGGACGACAACUGACGCUGAGGCGCGAAAGCGUGGGGAGCAAACAGGAUUAGAUACCCUGGUAGUCCACGCUGUAAACGAUGAAUACUAGGUGUGGGGGGACUGACCCCCUCCGUGCCGCAGUUAACACAAUAAGUAUUCCACCUGGGGAGUACGAUCGCAAGAUUGAAACUCAAAGGAAUUGACGGGGGCCCGCACAAGCAGUGGAUUAUGUGGUUUAAUUCGACGCAACGCGAAGAACCUUACCGGGAUUUGACAUCCUACUAACGAAGCAGAGAUGCAUUAGGUGCCCUUCGGGGAAAGUAGAGACAGGUGGUGCAUGGUUGUCGUCAGCUCGUGUCGUGAGAUGUUGGGUUAAGUCCCGCAACGAGCGCAACCCUUAUUGUUAGUUGCUACGCAAGAGCACUCUAGCGAGACUGCCGUUGACAAAACGGAGGAAGGCGGGGACGACGUCAAAUCAUCAUGCCCCUUAUGUCCCGGGCUACACACGUAAUACAAUGGCGGUCAACAGAGGGAAGCAAAGCCGCGAGGUGGAGCAAAUCCCCAAAAGCCGUCUCAGUUCGGAUUGCAGGCUGCAACUCGCCUGCAUGAAGUUGGAAUUGCUAGUAAUCGUGGAUCAGAAUGCCACGGUGAAUACGUUCCCG
rnacentral:rRNA from 1 species